AGUGAACGCUGGCGGUAGGCCUAACACAUGCAAGUCGAACGGCAGCACAGUAAGAGCUUGCUCUUACGGGUGGCGAGUGGCGGACGGGUGAGGAAUACAUCGGAAUCUACUUUUUCGUGGGGGAUAACGUAGGGAAACUUACGCUAAUACCGCAUACGACCUACGGGUGAAAGCAGGGGAUCUUCGCACCUUGCGCGAUUGAAUGAGCCGAUGUCGGAUUAGCUAGUUGGCGGGGUAAAGGCCCACCAAGGCGACGAUCCGUAGCUGGUCUGAGAGGAUGAUCAGCCACACUGGAACUGAGACACGGUCCAGACUCCUACGGGAGGCAGCAGUGGGGAAUAUUGGACAAUGGGCGCAAGCCUGAUCCAGCCAUACCGCGUGGGUGAAGAAGGCCUUCGGGUUGUAAAGCCCUUUUGUUGGGAAAGAAAAGCAGCAGGUUAAUACCCCGCUGUUCUGACGGUACCCAAUGAAUAAGCACCGGCUAACUUCGUG
rnacentral:rRNA from 1 species